AUCCUGGCUCAGGAUGAACGCUGGCGGUGUGCCUAAUACAUGCAAGUCGAACGAGUUCUUGUUGAUGAUCGGUGCCUGCACCGAGAUUCAACAUGGAACGAGUGGCGGACGGGUGAGUAACACGUGGGUAACCUGCCCUUAAGUGGGGGAUAACAUUUGGAAACAGAUGCUAAUACCGCAUAGAUCCAAGAACCGCAUGGUUCUUGGCUGAAAGAUGGCGUAAGCUAUCGCUUUUGGAUGGACCCGCGGCGUAUUAGCUAGUUGGUGAGGUAAUGGCUCACCAAGGCGAUGAUACGUAGCCGAACUGAGAGGUUGAUCGGCCACAUUGGGACUGAGACACGGCCCAAACUCCUACGGGAGGCAGCAGUAGGGAAUCUUCCACAAUGGACGCAAGUCUGAUGGAGCAACGCCGCGUGAGUGAAGAAGGCUUUCGGGUCGUAAAACUCUGUUGUUGGAGAAGAAUGGUCGGCAGAGUAACUGUUGUCGGCGUGACGGUAUCCAACCAGAAAGCCACGGCUAACUACGUGCCAGCAGCCGCGGUAAUACGUAGGUGGCAAGCGUUAUCCGGAUNUAUUGGGCGUAAAGCGAGCGCAGGCGGUUUUUUAAGUCUGAUGUGAAAGCCCUCGGCUUAACCGAGGAAGCGCAUCGGAAACUGGGAAACUUGAGUGCAGAAGAGGACAGUGGAACUCCAUGUGUAGCGGUGAAAUGCGUAGAUAUAUGGAAGAACACCAGUGGCGAAGGCGGCUGUCUGGUCUGUAACUGACGCUGAGGCUCGAAAGCAUGGGUAGCGAACAGGAUUAGAUACCCUGGUAGUCCAUGCCGUAAACGAUGAAUGCUAGGUGUUGGAGGGUUUCCGCCCUUCAGUGCCGCAGCUAACGCAUUAAGCAUUCCGCCUGGGGAGUACGACCGCAAGGUUGAAACUCAAAGGAAUUGACGGGGGCCCGCACAAGCGGUGGAGCAUGUGGUUUAAUUCGAAGCAUCGUGAAGAACCUUACCAGGUCUUGACAUCUUUUGAUCACCUGAGAGAUCAGGUUUCCCCUUCGGGGGCAAAAUGACAGGUGGUGCAUGGUUGUCGUCAGCUCGUGUCGUGAGAUGUUGGGUUAAGUCCCGCAACGAGCGCAACCCUUAUGACUAGUUGCCAGCAUUUAGUUGGGCACUCUAGUAAGACUGCCGGUGACAAACCGGAGGAAGGUGGGGAUGACGUCAAAUCAUCAUGCCCCUUAUGACCUGGGCUACACACGUGCUACAAUGGAUGGUACAACGAGUUGCGAGACCGCGAGGUCAAGCUAAUCUCUUAAAGCCAUUCUCAGUUCGGACUGUAGGCUGCAACUCGCAUACACGAAGUCGGAAUCGCUAGUAAUCGCGGAUCAGCACGCCGCGGUGAAUACGUUCCCGGGCCUUGUACACACCGCCCGUCACACCAUGAGAGUUUGUAACACCCGAAGCCGGUGGCGUAACCCUUUUAGGGAGCGAGCCGUCUAAGGUGGGACAAAUGAUUAGGGUGAAGUCGUAACA
rnacentral:rRNA from 1 species